AGAGUUUGAUCCUGGCUCAGGAUGAAUGCUGGCGGCGUGCCUAAUACAUGCAAGUCGCACGCGAGGCCGGGUGCUUGCACCCCGAUUCUCGAGUGGCGGACGGGUGAGUAACACGUAGGCAACCUGCCCCGCAGACCGGGAUAACCACGGGAAACCGUGGCUAAUACCGGAUAAUCCCUGGUGUCAUAAGGCGCCGGGUUGAAAGACGGUUUCGGCUGUCACUGCGGGAUGGGCCUGCGGCGCAUUAGCUGGUUGGCGGGGUCACGGCCCGCCAAGGCGACGAUGCGUAGCCGACCUGAGAGGGUGAUCGGCCACACUGGGACUGAGACACGGCCCAGACUCCUACGGGAGGCAGCAGUAGGGAAUCUUCCGCAAUGGACGCAAGUCUGACGGAGACCAACGCCGCGUGAGUGAGGAAGGGUUUCGGCUACGUAAAACUCUGUUGUUAAGGAAGAACGCCGGGGAUUUAACUGAUCUCCGAGUGACGGUACUUAACCAGAAAGCCACGGCUAACUACGUGCCAGCCGCCGC
rnacentral:rRNA from 1 species